UGCAGCGAGGAACUUGGAAAGACGAGCUCAUCUCUCCCAUUGAGACAACAAGCAGGCUUGGUUCCUACUUCAAAGAAACUGAAAUAAAUCCCACAGCCUCAGCAUUCCUCUCCUGUGAGACAACCAAGUGUAUGUGCAGACUUCACGUGGGCCCUCUGUGUCACCCCGGAGAGACUCAGAGACAAAGGGAACCAAGACAAACAGGCUAACUUUCCUUGGAAGAAGGGAAUAAUCAAGUCACAAGUCCAACAGUUUUGGUGAUGGAGACGUGGCUUCCUGGAAGAGGCAGAACUGUAGUGGCCAGUCUGGGUGGAAAGACAGAAAAGCAUCUGGAAUCCAGUUAUGAAAACUCUUCCCCUAGACAUCUGCCCGUGUUUGGGGCAAGAAGAGGGAACAAGGAUCCCUGCUGUCCUACUUCUUAAUGACGCUCAUCAUUCUGAAGGCCAGAGUCCAAAAUCAAGAUGUUGGCAGGUCUGCACUCCCUCCAGAGGCUCUGGGGUAAGAUGACCAGCUUGUGACGGCUGUUGGUAAUCCUUGGCUUUCCUUGGCUUGUAGCUACAUCUCUCUGAUCUCUACCUCUGUCUUCACGUCUUCUCAUCUCCCCUGUGUCUCUCUUCUGAAGAUACUUAUCAUUGGACUUAGGUACCCCCCCCCCGCGCCAAUUCUCAAUACUCCAGAAUGAUCUCUUCAUUUCAAGAACCUUAAAUUAGUUACAUCUGCAAAGACCCUUUUUCUAAAUAAGGUAGCAUUCACAGAUUCCCGGAAUUAGGAUGCAGAAGUCUUUUUUUUUUUUAACUAAUGAAUUUUUAAAAUUGAAAUUUAGUUGAUUUACAAUACUGUAUUUGUUUCAGGUAUACAGCACAGUGAUUCGUAAACCAAAUAAAUCUUCUAUGUUUAAAGUACGCUAUAGUUUCCAAAGCAUUUUCAUUUUGAAUAUGAAUUAACAUUAACAUUAGCUGAACAUCACUCCAAACACCUUACUUUGGAGGUAAGUAUCAAUAUAUACCUCUUAGAUGGAUAUCUAAGAUUCUUAGGAUCCUCAGAUACAUGUAACCAACAGAGAGAGAAGGCACAUUGAAAAUGUGAUUUUGCAUAAGAAGCAGUGUGAUUUGGUGGAUGGGCACAUAGUCGCUGGAGCCCAACUACCUGGGUUCUAUGUAGAUCCUACCUCUUAUUGGUUGUGUGAUGAUGGGCAAGUCACUCCACCUCUCUGUGCCUCAAUUUCCUCAACCAUAAAAUGUGGAUGUCAAUAAUCCCCACCUCACAGGGUUUCCUUGAGGAUGAAAAAGUGCUUAGAACACCAUCUGGUACAUUGUAAGCUUUCAGUUAAGGACCAUCGUUUUCCUUGGUCUGAUUUCCAACAGACAGAAGGCCAAGGAGGAGCAGAGACAGGUAAGGAUAAGGAGAGAAGGAGUCAUUGCUGGGUCUGGGCUCUGUACGCUCUUCUGCAAUUCUGUCAGAUGUUUUAAGCAGAAGUUCAUCCAUCAUUUUUGGAGGUGCUUUACUCCCCCAGGUCCCAGGCAGCUCCCUAAGACUUCCAGGGAUCCUGAGAACAGGAUGUCUUUUGUCUCUUCUAGAGCCUUCUGUGGGUGGUUGGGGGAUGGGUAGCAAACAGUCUAAGGAGAACAUUUGCUUUCUUGUCGAGCUUUUACCUGUCUUUCCACCUCGUCCCCUUUUCAUUUCAUUAGACAGGGAGUUUCACCUUAGCUCAUUCUCUUCGUGCUCUGACACCGCACGGCACACAUUUGGUUUGAGAAUCACCGAGAGGUAGGCAGGACUUGUAAGACUGUGACCAUAUUACUGAUGAGAAAGCCAACUGUCAUAAAGUAAAGCUAUUUACUCAGGGUUGUACAAGGCUGUAAGGAAGAGCCAACGCCGUGAGUCUGUAACAAGAGCUCAUUGCUCUUGUCCUAGAAUCUAUUCACUCAAUGUUUACCGGGUCAAUGAGGGUCAGGUUGCACUGAUGCAGGGGGCAGAGGGGACAAAGAUUAAUAAAUAUAGAUCUUCUUUUUAAAAAAAAUUUUGUUCUUUGGCUGCACUGUGGAGCAUGUGGGAUCUUAGUUCCCCGACCAGGGAUUGAACCUGUGCCCCCUGCAUUGGGAGCGUGGAGUCUUAACCACUGGACCGCCAGGGAAGUCCCUCCCUGUGGAUCUUCUAGCAUGUUCAGAAGAGGUUUCCAUCAGCACAGCUGGUUGGAGCAUUUGAUCUCAUCGGGUAGUUUGUGCCUGAGAGAAUUAAGGUCUCCAUCAACAUGUUUGAAGGCUGUAUGGUGCAGAUACAACUGUGCCGAUUUUAAAAUAUGAUAAGUUGAUUCUAACAUUCUUCCAGAAGAGAAAAAGUGUGAGAAUGUCAAAGAAUAUUUCGAACAAGAGAAAGAUAGGAGACUUGUCCUACCAGAUACAAAAACAUAUUAGAAAUCAACAAUAGUUGGAAAGUUCUGACAUUAGCCAAGGCAAGACAAACGGCUCACCAAGCGGCUAUGGAUCCAUACGAAGAAGUAUUUGAGGGAGAAAGGAUGGCCUUUUUAUAAUUGUGGAGUGGGGACACCUUUUUAGCAAGGCAAAAUUUCCAGGCCAUAAUGGAAGAGACUGGCGGACUUGAUAGCAUAAAAAUUUGAAAUAGUUGUAGAGAGAAAGAUAACAAAGUCAAGAAAAGAAAUUUAAAAAAAACUUGUCAUAUAGAUACCUGAUAAAACUAUUUGUUGGUACCUAUCCAAAGAAAGACUUUGCAAACUCUUGGACUCAAGAUUCCAAUUCUAAAACCCACAUCGUAGAAGUCCCCACAGAGGCACAUAUAGUUACAUGUUCCAGGAUGUUCAUUUCAGCAUUGUUUGUCGUAGGAAAAAAAUAAGAAACUUAAAUGUCUACGAAAAGAAAAUUAGUCAAAUAAAUUGUAACACAUCCAAACUACAGAAUACUCUUCAUAAAGUAAAAGGAAUGAAGGCCUGGUAUAGAAAAAUUCCUAGGUUAAGUCAGAACAAGGAACAAGAACAAGGCUGUUGUUCUGCAUUUAAAAAAAUCUAUUUGAAUAUAGGUAUAUAUGUAAAUAGAAACUGGUCCUGGAGGAUCUCCAAUGAACUGUGAAUAAGAGUUACCCCUGGGAAGGGGAGUGGAAUGGGUGGAAAUAGGAUUUUCAAGUUUUAUUCUUCAUGCCUCCUUAUUGUUCGGAUGUUUAAUUUGAACAUGUAAUCACUGUGUAAUUUUAAAAAUGUAAACAACGAGGAAGCAAGGCUCCUCAUCCCCAGGGACGAAGAAUAAGGACUUUGCACAUCCAUCUAAGCUGGGGAGUCAGACGAGCCGGGAGGCCACCCAGCCACUAAGGGACAGAAAACAGAUGUGGAGGAACCGUGAGCCACGUGCACUCACCAAUCCCCUGGUGCUCAGCUCCAAGCAGAGACUGUGGGUCGACUGCACAGGGCAAAUGAGGGUUUUCUCUUCACUUGAACAAAAGAAAUCAAGAAUGUGGAAGAGGCAGAUGUGACAGCCAUAAAAUGAUGUAUCACCCACAGAUCUGAAGCCGUGGAAAUGGCAACUCAGCCCUGUUCUAACUCAACUCAGCUCAGCAGCAGCAGUGUUAGGAUGCGUAGGUAGAGAGACAUCUCUGCUAUCCCGGUAGGGCACUCAGGCCUGCCUGCAUGGAGGCAGCCUGUUGGGACGUCUGGCCUCCAGACCUCUACUAGUUCUGAGCUUGUGAGCUGAGAAAGGGCCAAGCUGCAAAUACAAGUCUUUCUUACCUGCAAGGAGCUGGGAAACCCGACAACACACACUUUCCCUGCCUCUUUCACUUUCACUGGCAUCAGAGCCUAAACACGCUGGGAAUUUGAACAGAGGUCUCUCUCUUCAGCUCCAGCCCCCAGGGUGGGUGGGACACUCCGUUUCUCAGCUAUCAGCCCCCGUGUGGGAGAUGGAGGGGUGGGCUUGGAAUUAACCGCCAGGAGAUCUGGAUUGUCAACAGAACAUGCAGGAAGCUGGUUCUAAGCCGUGCAUGUGAAUUAAGGGGACAGAAAUACUCCUUCAGUCUUCAGUAUUUGGGGUGGCUUCCAUAAAGCAGUUGCAGGAAAAAUCACGGACCUGGAUGCCAUGUAAGUCCUAAGCCCUCCUGGAGUGAUUUCCUACUGGAUCAUGUAAGAGGUAAGAGAUCUGCACUCCUGUAUCGAGUUCUUUUUGCCAAUUUGUCUCAAUCACAUUAUUAUCAUUAAUAAUAAUAAUAACACAUAUUUUGUACUUACUACACAUCAGGUGCAAUUUAAAGUAUUUCCAUGUAUCGUCUCACCUACCUAAUUCUCACAACGGCUCUGUGGGCUGGGGCACGAUUACUCUCAUUUCACAGAUGGAGAAACUGAGGCACAGUCAGUUUAAGCCACUCUCCAGGUUCACACGGAUGGCAGGUGGUGAUGCUGGUUCUCCUCUAGAUGACCUGACUCCAGGGCUUCCUCUGCACUGUGCAUGGAACCCUCGGCAGCCUCCUCAGAUGUCACGGGGUCUGUGGACUAAAUGAGGGUGAGAGGACAAAGGGGCCCAUGGUGACGAGCAGCAUGGAGGGUGCCUCCAAGGAAGUUCUUGGAAGCCAUUAAGCAGGGGAGGGAUGGCGUGGGGCUCAGGGCACAGUCACUCUGAGGAUAAGUACCAACAAUCGGGGGAAUGGAACCCAAGAUUUGAAGUUUUCUGGCUUGUGCAUUGUCAUCAAAAUAGGACAUUGGUUGGUGUGAGGCCGAACAAAGGGGCCUCCACAUCCCCUGCGGGAAAGGUGUGUAUGGGUAGUUCUUUCUCAGUGACAGGUCUGUCUGGAGACAAGGAGAAUUUUCCAACUUGGCCUGGGAAACACUAAGACAGCAGGAGGAUUUAAGAUAAUUCAAAUAUAGUCCUUCAGCCCAACUCUCUAUUUCACAGAAAGAACUUGUUCAGUGAGGAGUAGGGUCUUGUCCAAGGACUCAUGGCUAUUGAGUAAAUGAGCUACGACCAGACCCUGUUCUGUUUUCGAAUUUGCCUUGGGCUGCCUCCUGUUCUGUUCUGGCAUACUGUCCUCUGUGCUGACGCCUGCCACCCCCUCCAAGUCAUAGACUUCCAAAUGUUCAUCAUGGACAACACAGAUAAGAAAGUAUUUGAUGUAAUGACUGGAAGAAAGUCAGUUCAUUAGUAGCUAUGUUCAUUAUCAGAGAUUCGUACUUGAUUCAACGGUUUCUAGUAUAUUCAGAGAGUUGUGCACUCAUCACCACAAUCCGGUUUUAGAACACCUCCUGGAAAGGUCCCUGGUGCUGACAGUCUUCAUCAGUCAAUCUCAUUCUCACCCCCAGCCGCAGGCAACCACUAACUUAUCUUCUUUUUAGAUUGGCUUUCUCUGGACAUUGAAUAUACAUGGAAUCACAUAAUUUCGUGGUUGUUUUCAUCUGGUUUCUUCACUUACCAAAAUUCCAUUGUAUGAAUAUACCACUUUUUGUUUACUCAUUCAUCAGUUGGCAGACAUUUGACUAUCAUGAAUAAUCCUGCUAUGACUAGGGCUUCCCUGGUUGCACAGUGGUUAAGAAUCUGCCUGCCAAUGCAGGGGACACGGGUUCGAGCCCUGGUCGGGGAAGAUCACACAUGCCGCGGAGCAACUAAGACCAUGCGCCACAACUGCUGAACCUGUGCUCUAGAGCCCGCGAGCCACAACUACUGAGCCCACGUGUUACAACUACUGAAGCCCGUGCGCCUAGAGCCCGUGCUCCACAAGAGAAGCCACUGCAAUGAGAAGCCUGUGCACUGCAAUGAAGAGUAGCCCCCGCUCGCCGCAACUGGAGAAAGCCCGCGCGCAGCAACAAAGACCCAAUGCAGCCAAAAAUAAAUAAAUAAAAUAAAUUUAAAAAAAAAUCCUGCUAUGAAUACUUGUGUACAAUUUUUUGCACAAACGUUUGUUAUUAUUUCUCUUGGAAGUGGAUUUGCUGGCCCACAUGACAAAUUUGUAUUAACUUAAGAAACUGCCAAACUUUUCCAAAGUAGUUGUACCAUUUUACCUUUCCACCAACAAUGUAGUUUCCAAUUUUUUCCAUAUCUUGCCAAUAUUUGGUGUUAUCUUUUUGAUUAUAGUCAUUCUAGUGUGUAAUAGUAUCUCUUUGUAGUUUUAACUUGCAUUUCUCUGAUGACUAAUGAGGUCGAAUACGUUUUCAUGAGUUUAGAUAUUUGAAUGUCUCUCUUGAUGCAAUGUCAAGUCUUUCACCAUUUUAAAAUUAUGCUUUUGGAUUUCUUAUUUUGGGGUUGUGUUCUUUAUACUUAUGGAUACACAUCUUUUAUUAUAUAUGAUUGGCAAAUAUUUUCUCACAGUCUGUGACUUGUCUUCAUUUCUUUCAAGCUGUCUUUUGAAGAACAAAUUAAACAAUGAGUUAAUGAAGCUUAAUUUACCAAUUUUUCCUUUUAUGGCUUACGCUUUUGGUAUUGUAUCUAUGUUUGCCUAACCAGAGAUUUAAAAUAUCUCCUCCUGUGCUUUCUCUUAGACGUUUUGUAGUUUUAAGCUUUAUAUUUAGGCCUGUGGUCCACGUGUCCUAACCUGACUCAAAGCCCCACUUUUCCUGAGCUAGAGCCUCCUGUGGACAACAGAAAGGGAGCCAUUGUGGGUGGCUUCUUUCUCCCCUGGGGGCAACUGUUGAGUGGAAACCAGCUCAAAAGGUUUCCAUGCUGCUCACCCAGCCACUGCCUUUCUAAACAGAGGUCCGUUGAUAGAGCACUUCAGAACCCUCUCUCUCUGUUUCUAAAACAGCAAUUUGUAACCUGCUUGAGGUUUGAGAUGACUGUUGUUUCUCAACAUCUUGCUUGCUUCAUACAAAUUUACUGCUUCCAGUAGAUAUUUUCUGUGGUGUAUAUUACCAGAUUGUGGUCACUGUAUAGCUUUAAUAUAAAGACUCUAUUUUUGGUUCGUGUUGAUGUGUUUCAAGGAUUGAAGUUAAAUAAUGUGUGAGCAUUAAAUAAUGUUAAUAAAGUUAAAUAAUGUCCACCAUC